AGAGUUUGAUCCUGGCUCAGGAUAAACGCUGGCGGCGUGCCUAAUGCAUGCAAGUCGAACGAGGUAGCAAUACCUAGUGGCAAACGGGUGAGUAACACGUGGGAAUCUGCCCAAGAGUGGGGAAUAACAGCUCGAAAGAGUUGCUAAUACCGCAUACGGUCGAAAGACUAAAGGAGCAAUCCGCUUUUGGAGGAGCCUGCGGCUGAUUAGCUAGUUGGUGGGGUAAAGGCCUACCAAGGCGGUGAUCAGUAGCUGGUCUGAGAGGAUGGUCAGCCACACUGGGACUGAGAAACGGCCCAGACUCCUACGGGAGGCAGCAGCAAGGAAUUUUCGGCAAUGGGGGAAACCCUGACCGAGCAACGCCGCGUGGGCGACGAAGUCCUUCGGGAUGUAAAGCCCUUUUCUUCUGUAAGAAAAAGGACGGUACCACAGGAAUAAGCAUCGGCUAACUACGUGCCAGCAGCCGCGGUAAUACGUAGGAUGCAAGCGUUGUCCGGAUUUACUGGGCGUAAAGGGCGCGCAGGCGGUAUAGCAAGUCUAUCGUGAAAGCCCCCGGCUAAACCGGGGAGGGUCGGUAGAUACUGCUAAACUAGAGUGCAGCAGAGGAUAGUGGAAUUCCCGGUGUAGUGGUAAAAUGCGUAGAUAUCGGGAGGAACACCAGUGGCGAAAGCGGCUAUCUGGGCUGUAACUGACGCUGAGGCGCGAAGGCUAGGGGAGCAAACAGGAUUAGAUACCCUGGUAGUCCUAGCAGUAAACGAUGAACACUAGGUGUGCGGGGAAAUUGACCCCCUGCGUGCCGGAGCAAACGCAAUAAGUGUUCCGCCUGGGGAGUACGGUCGCAAGAUUAAAACUCAAAGGAAUUGACGGGGACCCGCACAAGCAGCGGAGCGUGUGGUUUAAUUCGACUACGCGAAGAACCUUACCAGGGCUUGACAUGGCACGUUCAGAGGUGGAAACAUCUCGGCCGCAAGGCGAGUGUCACAGAUGCUGCAUGGCUGUCGUCAGCUCGUGUCGUGAGAUGUUGGGUUAAGUCCCGCAACGAGCGCAACCCCUAGUGUUAGUUAAAUGGUCUAGCGCGACUGCCGGUAGAAAACCGGAGGAAGGUGGGGAUGACGUCAAGUCAGCAUGGCUCUUACGUCCUGGGCUACACACACGCUACAAUGGCUGGUACAAAGCGAAGCAAGACUGCGAAGUGGAGCGGAUCGCAAAAAGCCAGUCUCAGUUCGGAUAGCAGGCUGCAACUCGCCUGCUUGAAGUCGGAGUUGCUAGUAACCGCGCAUCAGCACGGUGCGGUGAAUAUGUUCCCGGGUCUUGUACACACCGCCCGUCACGUCAUGGAAGCUGAUAACACUUGAAGCCGGUGAGCGAACCUUCGGGGCGCAGCUGUCGAGGGUGGGAUUAGUGACUGGGACGAAGUCGAAACAAGGUA
rnacentral:rRNA from 1 species